rnacentral:rRNA from 1 species
GUCCACGCUGUAACUAUGAUUACUCGAUGUUUGCGAUAUACUGUAAGCGUCUAAGCGAAGCGAUAAGUAAUCCACCUGGGGAGUACGCUCGCAAGAGUGAACUCAAGGAAUUGACGGGGCCCGCACAAGCGGAGGAGUAUGUGGUUUAAUUCGAUGAUACGCGAGGAACCUUACCUGGGCUUGAAAGUUAGUGACCGACUCUGAAAGGAGUUUUCCGCAAGGACACGAACUAGGUGCUGCAUGGCUGUCGU